rnacentral:rRNA from 1 species
UAGACCGCCUGGGGAGUACGGCCGCAAGGUUAAAACUCAAAUGAAUUGACGGGGGCCCGCACAAGCGGUGGAGCAUGUGGUUUAAUUCGAUGCAACGCGAAGAACCUUACCUGGUCUUGACAUCCACGGAAGUUUUCAGAGAUGAGAAUGUGCCUUCGGGAACCGUGAGACAGGUGCUGCAUGGCUGUCGUCAGCUCGUGUUGUGAAAUGUUGGGUUAAGUCCCGCAACGAGCGCAACCCUUAUCCUUUGUUGCCAGCGAUUAGGUCGGGAACUCAAAGGAGACUGCCAGUGAUAAACUGGAGGAAGGUAGGGAUGACGUCAAGUCAUCAUGGCCCUUACGACCAGGGCUACACACGUGCUACAAUGGCGCAUACAAAGAGAAGCGACCUCGCGAGAGCAAGCGGACCUCAUAAAGUGCGUCGUAGUCCGGAUUGGAGUCUGCAACUCGACUCCAUGAAGUUGGAAUCGCUAGUAAUCGUGGAUCAGAAUGCCACGGUGAAUACGUUCCCGGGCCUUGUACACACCGCCCGUCACACCAUGGGAGUGGGUUGCAAAAGAAGUAGGUAGCUUAACCUUCGGGAGGGCGCUUACCACUUUGUGAUUCAUGACUGGGGUGAAGUCGUAACAAGGUAACCGUAGGGGAACCUGCGGUUGGAUCACCUCCUUA